AGAGGAAGAUGAGAUGAAUGAGAGAGAAAAUGCUCAGUCAGCCUACCAUAUUAGUGUUAGAUAUCCAUGUGCAGAGGUAUGAACCUACGAUGAACGACUUAACAAGUUUAUGGAUUUAAAAAUGUAUUUUCGAAGUUCAUGGACCUAAGUGACACAUCCUUACAAGUUGAUAGACCUCUGGUGUAUUUUACUCAACUUGAAAAUCAGAUUGCUCUUUUCUAUUUUCCAUAGGUUGCCUGGGCUCGAACCCGGAACUAAUCCGAUAGAUGAUUUUUCGUUUCUUGUCAUAGGAACCCAAAUUAUGCUUGUAGUUUUCAUCCCUGACCUUUUC
rnacentral:lncRNA from 1 species